GGGAGAGGUUGAGUAACUUUCCCCAAAUGACCUCACUGUCAAGGGGCAGCACUGGCUCCAAGGUCACACAGUCAGGCUCCGAGCGUCCUGCUUUUGCCAUGCUGGCUGUCUGAGCCCUUUGCUCUGUCACAACCUCAUAAGCCGCCUGGCAGUGCCUAUAACUCCUGGCAAGGUCGAUACCCUUUUCAAGAACUGAGCUCUUUCCCUUCCUGGUGUUCUGGGCACACAGCUGGUGCCGGCAAAUGCUCUUGUCUUCUCAGUCUCAUUACUCUCUGUGAGGAAACCUGCAGGCUGUUUUCCAGGAGAGAAGGUUUCUGUGGGUCAAGAUUCCAGGCUUCCCUGCGUACCCUACCUCACCCCUCACAAGGCUGCAGUGAAGGCUGAGGUCUCAUCUGAAGGCCUGGCUGGCAGAGGAGGAUCUGCUUCCAAACUUUCUCAUGGUCAUUGUCAGGAUUCUGUUCCUUGUGGGCACCAGCUUCCAACACACCAAGUGAGAUAGAGCAAGAUGGACUCAGCGUAGUGAGAGUUUUUAUGCAUGACCGGGAGUUCGUCAGCUGAAGAAGGAUCAUAAGAGGUUCUGGGCGACAAGAAGCCAGCCAGUGGGGGCCCAGAUAUGGAGGAGAGCCUGCAGCAUCAGGGAAAGACAGUGUCGCCAUGUGAGUUGUGUGUGUGUGUGCGCAUGUUUGUGGCAUGUGUGUGCACACAUACAGACCCAAUUCUGCGUACAGAGUUAGAAAGUUAGAAAAGAGAAAGAACUAGUAUUUGCUAACCCAGCAGUCAAUAAUAAUGUAAUUGUACACAAAAAUAAUUAAA